GAUGAAGAACGUAGUGAAAUGCGAUAAUUAAUGUGAAUUGCAGAAUUCAGUGAAUCAUCGAGUCUUUGAACGCACAUUGCGCCCCCUGGUAUUCCGGGGGGCAUGCCUGUCCGAGCGUCAUUGCUGCCCUCAAGCACGGCUUGUGUGUUGGGCUUCCGUCCCUGGCAACGGGGACGGGCCCAAAAGGCAGUGGCGGCACCAUGUCUGGUCCUCGAGCGUAUGGGGCUUUGUCACCCGCUCCCGUAGGUCCAGCUGGCAGCUAGCCUCGCAACCAAUCUUUUUAACCAGGUUGACCUCGGAUCAGGUAGGGAUACCCGCUGAACUUAAGCAUAUCGAUAAGCGGAGGA
rnacentral:misc_RNA from 1 species